UUGAACGCUGGCGGCAUGCCUUACACAUGCAAGUCGAACGGUAGAGGAGCAAUCCUCGAGAGUGGCGAACGGGUGAGUAAUGUAUCGGAACGUGCCCAGUAGUGGGGGAUAGCCCGGCGAAAGCCGGAUUAAUACCGCAUACGACCUGAGGGUGAAAGCGGGGGAUCGCAAGACCUCGCGCUAUUGGAGCGGCCGAUAUCAGAUUAGCUAGUUGGUGGGGUAAAGGCCUACCAAGGCUACGAUCUGUAGUUGGUCUGAGAGGACGACCAGCCACACUGGGACUGAGACACGGCCCAGACUCCUACGGGAGGCAGCAGUGGGGAAUUUUGGACAAUGGGCGCAAGCCUGAUCCAGCAAUGCCGCGUGCAGGAAGAAGGCCUUCGGGUUGUAAACUGCUUUUGUCAGGGAAGAAAUCUUCUGGGCUAAUACCCCGGGAGGAUGACGGUACCUGAAGAAUAAGCACCGGCUAACUACGU
rnacentral:rRNA from 1 species